rnacentral:rRNA from 1 species
AGAGUUUGAUCAUGGCUCAGGACGAACGCUGGCGGCGUGCUUAACACAUGCAAGUCGAACGAUGAACCACUUCGGUGGGGAUUAGUGGCGAACGGGUGAGUAACACGUGGGCAAUCUGCCCUUCACUCUGGGACAAGCCCUGGAAACGGGGUCUAAUACCGGAUACCACUACCGCAGGCAUCUGUGGUGGUUGAAAGCUCCGGCGGUGAAGGAUGAGCCCGCGGCCUAUCAGCUUGUUGGUGAGGUAAUGGCUCACCAAGGCGACGACGGGUAGCCGGCCUGAGAGGGCGACCGGCCACACUGGGACUGAGACACGGCCCAGACUCCUACGGGAGGCAGCAGUGGGGAAUAUUGCACAAUGGGCGAAAGCCUGAUGCAGCGACGCCGCGUGAGGGAUGACGGCCUUCGGGUUGUAAACCUCUUUCAGCAGGGAAGAAGCGAAAGUGACGGUACCUGCAGAAGAAGCGCCGGCUAACUACGUGCCAGCAGCCGCGGUA